ensembl:misc_RNA 7SK 7SK RNA
AUAUCGAAGUGGCUGUCCCCUCCCUUCCAACAGAGUUAUAUGCUUUCUUCUGAGAGUUGCCCACUCCAUUAAAGAGUAUGGAAUUCCCAGACAAAGAAGGACCAUUUGGUCAUAGGUACAAGAGUAGAUUCACUCCCCUGCUGGAACCUCCACACAAGCUCUCUAGAUCCAUUCUUGGUGUUCAAAUCUUGGCUCGGUCAUUUACUACCUAUAUGAGGUUGACCAAGUUGCUUUAACCUACCUGAGUCU